UACGGGGGGGGCAAGCGUUGUUCGGAAUUACUGGGCGUAAAGGGCUCGUAGGCGGCCAACUAAGUCAUACGUGAAAUCCCUCGGCUUAACCGGGGAACUGCGCCUGAUACUGGUUGGCUUGAGUUUGGGAGAGGGACGCGGAAUUCCAGGUGUAGCGGUGAAAUGCGUAGAUAUCUGGAGGAACACCGGUGGCGAAGGCGGCAUCCUGGACCGGUAUUGACGCUGAGGAGCGAAAGCCAGGGGAGCAAACGGG
rnacentral:rRNA from 1 species